ACUGGCGGACGGGUGAGUAACACGUAGGUAAUCUGCCUCGUAGUCGGGAAUAACCCGGGGAAACCCGGGCUAAUACCGGAUGAGACCACGAGUGCUCCGGCACUUGAGGCCAAAGACGGCCACUACACGUAAGCUGUCGCUACGAGAUGAGCCUGCGGCCCAUUAGCUAGUUGGUGGGGUAAUGGCCUACCAAGGCUGUGAUGGGUAGCUGGUCUGAGAGGAUGAUCAGCCAGACUGGGACUGCGACACGGCCCAGACUCCUACGGGAGGCAGCAGUAAGGGAUAUUGCGCAAUGGGCGAAAGCCUGACGCAGCAACGCCGCGUGGAGGAAGAAGGCCUUCGGGUCGUAAACUCCUUUUGGGUCUGACGAGGAAGGACGGUAGGACCUGAAUAAGUCACGGCUAACUACGUGCCAGCAGCCGCGGUAAUACG
rnacentral:rRNA from 1 species